CGCUGCAUCUGGCCAAGAAGCAGGAGACGGCGGCCGUGUGCGGGGACACGGACGAGGACGAGGCCGAGAGCGGCGGCGAGGGCAUCUUCCGCGAGCGCGACGAGUUCGUGGUGCGCGUCGAGGACAUCCAGGCGCUCAAGCUGGCACUGCAGACGGGCCGGGAGCCGCCGCCGAUCUGGCGGGUGCAGAAGGCGCUGCUGCAGAAGUUCACCCCCGAGAUCAAGGAUGGGCAGCGGCAGUUCUGUGCCACCAGCAACUACUUGGGCUAUUUUGGGGACGCCAAGAACCGGUACCAGCGGCUCUACGUGAAGUUC